rnacentral:rRNA from 1 species
UACGGAGGGUGCGAGCGUUGUCCGGAAUCACUGGGCGUAAAGGGCGCGUAGGUGGCUCGUGAAGCGUGCGGUGAAAGUCCGAGGCUCAACCUCGGAUCGGCCGUGCGGACUCGCGGGCUCGAGCGUUGUAGAGGCGGGUGGAAUUCCGGGUGUAGCGGUGGAAUGCGUAGAGAUCCGGAAGAACACCGGUGGCGAAGGCGGCUCACUGGCCCGGUACUGACGCUGAGGUGCGAAAGCGUGGGGAGCAAACAGG